rnacentral:rRNA from 1 species
AGUGAACGCUGGCGGUAGGUCUAACACAUGCAAGUCGAACGGCAGCACAGUAAGAGCUUGCUCUUACGGGUGGCGAGUGGCGGACGGGUGAGGAAUACAUCGGAAUCUACUUUUUCGUGGGGGAUAACGUAGGGGAACUUACGCUAAUACCGCAUACGACCUACGGGUGAAAGCAGGGGAUCUUCGGACCUUGCGCGAUUGAAUGAGCCGAUGUCGGAUUAGCUAGUUGGCGGGGUAAAGGCCCACCAAGGCGACGAUCCGCAGCUGGUCUGAGAGGAUGAUCAGCCACACUGGAACUGAGACACGGUCCAGACUCCUACGGGAGGCAGCAGUGGGGAAUAUUGGACAAUGGGCGCAAGCCUGAUCCAGCCAUACCGCGUGGGUGAAGAAGGCCUUCGGGUUGUAAAGCCCUUUUGUUGGGAAAGAAAAGCAGCAGGUUAAUACCCCGCUGUUCUGACGGUACCCAAAGAAUAAGCACCGGCUAACUUCGUG